rnacentral:lncRNA from 1 species
GAGAGUCACUGUUACCACAGUUAUGUCAACCAUUAGCCAUAAAUUGCUGUUUGUAUCAAAGCGCAUGCUGCUUUUCUUGCACUGUCUCCCUUUGGCAGGGAUGUUUUGGUGUUUGCUAUUGACUGGACCAGCUCUGUUUGCUGUGUAGCAUUGUUCUCUUGAAAGGCUGCUUUGCAGUUUGUAUUUACACUACAGAUUGGUGAAUUUGCCAACGUCCUCACUGUGAUUAUGUGUAUAUUGCUGUUUAAAUUUUGUAUAUGUGUAUAAAAAGAAAAAGCUUCACCUAGAGAUUAUUUCUGCAAAAAUGUAUUGUACAAAUAAUUUUGUGGCAUAUUUCUAGUCCCUUUUUUCAAAUGAACCAAUUAUACUUCAUUUGGUCUCAAAUGUAGCAUUUCAGAAGAUGAGACAAAACAACCUUAACCAUGAGCAAACAUUGCCAGAAUUAACCUUACUGUUUAAGAGGCCAACUUUUGGAAGGGGGUGCUCAGCAGCUGGAAGUGGUGGCCAGAAGCUGGAGGGGGAGGCCAGCACCUGGAGGGGAUGGUCAGCAGCUGGUGCAGCUGGAAAUUCAGGGAAGGGCCUGAUAAGCUGUUGUUAAGGAUGAGGGCAGAGGGAGGCGCUGGCGAGAGCGAGUGGGAAUACACCCCUCCCUUCCUUCUUUCCAAGCGCGCAGGACUCAGGCCAAAUAAUUAAACCUUACAAAGGCUAAAAUGAGGACACUUUAUAGUGUCGCCUUGCCCCCACCACUCUGCUGGAGCGCAUACUAAAUCACAAAGCAGAUUUUCUGAAGCCAGCAAGUCCAAAAAUAGCUGGUCAGUUCAGAAGGUCGUGUUUGUACGCCUUCAGGUUCGACCUCGUCUUGGUAUCUCUUGGGCAUAACCUCAGUGCAACUUCCCUCCCCUUUGUCCAUCCGGAGGAGAGGACAUUGACAGACGGAUAAUGCGGAAAGCCAAACAGGAAGUAGACAGCAAAGGGCUAGGAAGCAUCUGCGACGUGGCAGCCAUAGCACCUGCUAUGGAGAGGCUCUGAACAUCGAAGCAGAGACCUGAGGCUCCUCCCCAGGGGGAGUGCUUCUUGGGCAGGGGGGAGGAGGGAUGUGGGCGUGCACCCUCUUCUGUGCCCAGGCAGGCACGCAGGUG